AAAGUGGCCCUUUUAAGGGCCACAUUUUUUCUUGACUGAGUUUGGU
rfam:Zootermopsis nevadensis contig29681, whole genome shotgun sequence.